AGGUGCUCAUUAAAGGAAGCUAUUUUGUUGAACACCGACAUUGUCCGAUGUUUAAAGUUUACUUAUCAAUCUUUAUCGAGAUGUUUUUCUCUCAAAGAACACCAUGCAGCCCUAGACAGAGUUUUCUCCCUGUUGCAAGCCCAGUUUCUCAGCUCUUCCUUGAUAAAUAUUCAAAGGUUUCUCGAUUUCUUGCCAGCGGCUCAUUUCAUAGCCUUGCCAAGAGACGCUCAGGUUCAAAUUGAUGAUGCCCUAAGUGAACUUGAGUCCAAUGAUUUUG